ensembl:snRNA U6 U6 spliceosomal RNA
GUGCUCGCUUCGGCAGAACAUAUUCUAAAAUUGGAACAACAUGGAGAAGAUUAGCAUGGUGCCUGUACAAAGAUGACAUGCAAAUUUGUGAAGCAUUCCAUAUUUAA